rnacentral:lncRNA from 1 species
UCCAAACUAUAAAUUCAUUUGCUUAAUUUUGGGCCACAUAAUUGAAAAUUUUUAACGACAGGUAUGAGAUACUUACCAGUUUAACGAUGUAAAAGAUUUGGAAUAGGUUAAAUUUUUGAUAGAAAAUUCUAUUUACUAUUUAAAUAAAGAUCAAUAACUCCGAUCUUAAAUUGAAGGAUCUGAUCAUUAAUUUUUAGGACGUCGUUCGAUUUGACUAUUCAUUUUAUGCCCGCUUGAUAGACUUUAUUAUGAUUUUGAAAAAUUACAAAAUUUAUUUUUUAGAAGUUUCAGAUAUUCUGGAUCAUAUUUAACGAAAUGGAUCGUCGAUUCAGAAGCUCCAUAACCGAAAACAAUUUAUGAGUACAAAGGGCUCUAUACUUAUCAGAGUAUUGUAACUCUACUCUCUCUCUCUCUCUCUCUCUCUCUCUCUCUCUCUCUCUCUCUAUAUAUAUAUAUAUAUAUAUAUAUAUAUAUAUAUAUAUAUAGAGUUCGGCUACCAUACUCUUAUGAGUACGAUCUCUCUCGUACUCAUAAGUUAUUUUCGAUGAUAGAGCUUCCGAAUCAACGAUCCACACCGUUAAACGUUAUCUGGAGCAUUUAAAACGUCUAGAAAUCAAAUUUUAUAAUUUGUCGACAUCAUUUAUCUUACGAUCAAAAGGUCACAAAAUUGAUAAUUUUUAACGGCCGAUAUGAGAUAUUUGCUAGUUUAACGGUGUAAAAGAAUCGAAAUCGGUUGAAUUUUUGAUAGAAAAUUCUAUUCACUACAUAGAUAAAUAUCAAUAACUCUGAUAUUAAAUUGAAGGAUCCGAUCAUCUAUUUUUAAGACGUCGUUCCAUUUUGACCAUUCAUUUUAUACCCGCUUAAUGAACUUAUGAGUAUGAAAGACUCUGUACUCAUAAGAGUAUAGUAGCCCUAG